rnacentral:rRNA from 1 species
UACGUAGGGGGCUAGCGUUGUCCGGAUUUAUUGGGCGUAAAGAGCUCGUAGGCGGUUUGUCGCGUCGACUGUGAAAACCUGCAGCUUAACUGUGGGCUUGCAGUCGAUACGGGCAGACUUGAGUUCGGUAGGGGAGACUGGAAUUCCUGGUGUAGCGGUGAAAUGCGCAGAUAUCAGGAGGAACACCGGUGGCGAAGGCGGGUCUCUGGGCCGAUACUGACGCUGAGGAGCGAAAGCGUGGGGAGCGAACAGG